UACAGAGGUCUCAAGCGUUGUUCGGAUUCAUUGGGCGUAAAGGGUGUGUAGGUGGCGCCGUAAGUCGGGUGUGAAAUUUCGGAGCUUAACUCCGAAACUGCAUUCGAUACUGCGGUGCUUGAGGACUGGAGAGGAGACUGGAAUUCAUGGUGUAGCAGUGAAAUGCGUAGAGAUCAUGAGGAAGACCAGUGGCGAAGGCGGGUCUCGGGACAGUUCCUGACACUGAGACACGAAGGCCAGGGGAGCAAACGGG
rnacentral:rRNA from 1 species